CGGGCAGCCUCCUUGAAGCCCAUUGGGCAUGGCCUUCAACCAAUAGGAAUGAAGUUUUUCAUUCCUUGCCUUCAUCCAACCAUGCCUUGUUUUUAUCCCUCCCAAUAAGCCUCCUAUAAGUUAAGAUUUUUUUCUUUAGGCUCUUAUCUCCUCUCAAGGCUUUAUACUAAACAUUAAGGUCUUACAAUUAUUUUAAAUGUUAUAAUCAAAAAAGAUAAAACU
rnacentral:lncRNA from 1 species